GUAGAUUUGUUGUAAAGUUUGUUUGCCUACUGAAUUGUUUUAUUUCAGCAGCUGCACUCGCACGAUAUUUUCAGUUACCAUCGACGUUCCAACGGAAGGUGAAAAUCCCCCCAAAGUAGGGAAAUUGAACCUUGUUGAUGUGGCCCGUAGUGAGAAUAUUGAAUGGCAAGCUGCCGUUGGUGGUGGAUUAGGAAAUAUUGAUCAGUCAUUCCUGACACUAGGACGUGUCAUUACGUUUUUUGUGGACAGAGCCGCGCAUGUACCUUUCAGGGAUUCAGGAUUAACUUACCUGUUAGAAAGUUCUUUUGGACGCCGGACAAAGACCUCCAUUAUUGCAACAAUAUCACCUACAGAAUGUAAUGUGGAUGCGACAUAUAGAACUUUGGAUGCUAUCACCAGAGCAAAGGACAAAUUCAGUCGUCGAGGAAUUAACUAGAAGCUUAAGAAGGAUCUUAUCAAGGUAGGACAAAAACUCAUCGUGUAUGAAUCUGUUCUUUGGAAAGGCAGCGUGUGUAUUUGUGCUUGUGCAUGCGCACAUGCAUCUGUGUGUCUGUAUAUUUGCUGUGGAGGCUGGCAUUUGUAAGCAAUUAAAUUGUGGCCAUCAUGUGUACAGGGCAGAGUGGAUUGCCGCCCAGGACUCUGAUUUUUGUGUAAUCUUCAUAAGGAGCACUCCAGAAGACCUGCAGUUUUAGGUCUCUGGGAUCCUUGGUUUGAAUCGCAAUCUGCACGUGGAUGUUUAAACAUUUUUUGUUCUGUAUGGGUAGAGUUUUUCAAUGAUCUUGUUCUGGAAGUCAUACCCAUUGUCUGAUUGGUCCCUGGCUUUGCCAGCAUGUGACACAGAAAGUCCCAGCUCAGCUCAGGCAGAAAAAUGUAUCACUGUUUUCGGCUGUUAAUUUGAAUUUGAAUCACGGAAGCAUUUUUUUGCAAGCUUGUAGCAGUAAGCGUACAUUCCAGUAGACUAGCAGCUUGGAGAAAUGUCGGGCGAUUUGCUGGUGAAACAGAACAGUUGACAAAGUACCAGGCAAAGACAUGAUUGUCAGCCAAUACUGUUUCAAGGCUUUGGCCGCUGAUUUGAGAUACUGUAAUAUAUUAAUAGCGUAUGAAACUAGUUCUAGCUGUUUUAUGAAGGUAGUCACAGAAUCAGUCCCUGUUUUUAUCCUCCUGAGCUUUGGUAAGGAAAUCUUCAGUUUCCCUGCACAAGGGUACAUUCCUCUAGAUUUAUGCACAGUUUUGAUGAGGGAAAUAAGAGCAGACAUUUGGUGGUAAAUAUCCUGCAAGCAGUUCACAGCACUCUGCUUAUAAUUCAUGUAACACUGACAUUUUUAACAAAAAAGAGAGCAAAGCUGUAACUCAGAUAUCUGCACAAAAAGGGCAAAAAACUUAAUGUAAAAUGCUAUUAAUGUAUCAUGCAUAACCACUUAUUUUAUAAGACAGUAUUGCUGACAAUUUAUAAUAUUAAAAUUUUAAGGUUAAACAAAUUCUUUUAACAAUCCUGUAAGUUUUAAUAAGAUUGCAGUGUAUA